ACGCAGACCGAGAUAAUUUUUAUUUACGACUCACGUGAGUGGCCUCACCUUCGUUUAUUUCAGCCUCGACGAUAGCGCCUAUCGUUCGUUACUUUAUUUCCUUCGCCGACCACAACAUCCUUUCGUCUGCUCUUUUAUUUUAAUCCGCCGUCUCUAUCUCACAUCGCUCUUGGUUUUUAUCGUUUCGUGGCACGUAAGUGCCUCGAGGAUCUAUUUCCCAUCGAGCUCCCAACUCGUUCCCGUUGCCAGCCAAUUAUUAAUUAGACCAACGCGAUUGAUCGAGAAUUGCUGCCGCUCGAAACGAUGAAAUUAAGAUUACGCGAAACUAUGGCAGCCCGUUAACGAUCACACUUCCGCGUAACGCGUGUGGAUUCGAGAAUAACAAUUUAUUCAUUAUUGCAACAGAUAUGUUGAAUUUAAUUAACGAUUGCAAGUAGACUAUUUUAUACCUUUCGAAAAGGAGGAAACAAUUGCAUUACAUCAUGUAUUUAUUAAACUUCUUUGAAAGUAAGCUCUACGAUCGAAACGAAACUCGUGGAAAUUUGGAGAAGAACAAAGAGGCUCGAGAAUAGAACAUGACUUUUUUUUUUUUUUUUAAAUCGCAAAGGAAAGCAACUAGAGAAACCGAUAAAUAACCGGUCGCUUAGAAGCCUGGAAUCGAACGUAAAAGAGGAACUUGAUCGAAACUCGUGCAUUUGCUUUGGAUACAAAAUCUCGAAAGGUACACCCCCUCGGACGCACUUAAGUUUGCCGACAGAUAUUGAUUUUCGUGAGGUCAAACACGGGCCAAUGGUGGGACCGAAUACAUCUCUCGACCAGGGGCUCGGACAAAUUCUUUGUCGUGGGCCAAUCGUCGUUGCGCCAAUCUAGCGCCAAAAUUUCCCAUCUUUUACCUGCCGCUGUGGCAAACAAACCUCUAACAAUUCGAGAUUUAUUCGACAUCGUUCGAAUUACGCUCGGCAUUACGACGAACGAGUACAAAAUUUACUUAACCGAAGUUAGUAGAAGGAAAUCGAAUAGAUUUCACUAAAAGGAACGCAACAAUAUUUUGCUCGCGAAAUGUUUUUCUCUUUUUCAGGAGGUGUACCUUUGUAAAACUGUGGGAACAAUUGACGUCGACGGACCCUCAUUUUGGUGCGUUGUCAAUCGUACUUAUAGCAAUUGAAACGAUAUAAUUAUAAAGUUCUAACGCAAGAGAAGAAGAGGGAGAACGAUAUCCUAAGGAAAUGAAAUACGUAUUUAUUUGAACCCUUUGCACUCGAGACGUGGUUCUCGGUCACCAUUGGCUUUCGCGCAGCAAAUCUAUCAGCAACAAUGUUUCUUUAAGUUUCAUUUCUUUGGAACUCGAAGUGUCGAUUAAAUGACCUUAUUCUGAAAUCUAGAUAGCUUAGAAUUCGUAGCAAUAGAAUGUUAAGAAACAUCUCGAGUUGCUGGUAGAUAUUAGAAAAAAGGCCUCGAGUGCAAAGGGUCAACGACUAAAGUUUCUGCUACUUUCCACCUCGUACUAACUAAACCAUCAUCCCCAGGAAUGAAAAAAAAAAAAAAAAAAGGAAAAACGAAGGGAUCAACCACAGCGACCAAGGAUGACGGCAGAAUCGGGCAAAAGUCAUAUUCCGACACACAUUCGGCAGUUUACGGUCACGUGAAAAUCAGACAAGAGCCGGAUGAACGCGAGGGGAAAAAGGGGGACGAGAACGCGAGGGGUGCACUUCGUCGCGAGAGGGUGAAGGGCUGCCAGAGAGAGAGACGAAGCAUGCUCAGACGCACAUAUUACGGCGCACGUCAGUAUUUAAACACGCUUGAUGGGAAGGUGGUGCACGAGGGUGAAAUCGGGUCCCCAUUGUGCUCAGGUGUGAGGCGUGUGCGCAGGGGGUGGACAGGGCGAGGGGAAAGGCCGAGGGAGAGGAGGGUAGAUUUGCACACGCGGCACGAGCCGCUCCAACAAAGGGAUGGAACAGAUUGGAAGCCAUUCAUUCAUUCGGUUGCCCUGUAUUUUUUCCCCGUGUUUGACUGGGAGAGCAUCGUCGACCACCCCUCCUACUGCCGUUCUACCCCGUUUCUUUAUGCACGACCGUCUCUCGUCUGCCUACAGGUUUAAUUUCUUUGGAGCUCGAAAAAAAGGCCUCGAAUGCAAAGGGUUAAUUUACAGUCUGAAAUAUAUCAGUUUUCAUUCGGAGAAGCUAAAAAUAAAUCAAGAAACGUGUCUGCAAUUACUAAUAUUCAGGCGACGGAAAUGGCGUGUAAAAACCGACGUAUUGUCGGAGGACCGUCGAUACUCUCGCGAUAAUCCAGCUGAACGGUGUCGGUCGAAUCGAUUGCUUGAAAUAAAAAUUGAAAUAAACGUAAAAUAGGUUCGAAUCGGAUUCUGGACACGAAUAUGUGUGAGAAGAUCGGUUAUUUUAUUGAGGUGUUCGUCGUUGAAACAAGGACAUUUGACGAUACGAAAACAGAAGAAUAGAGAACUCUGAAGAGGUGGGAGUAAUUUCCUCUGGAGAAUUCAGUGUACUUAAGGAAACUAACUUACUUUAUCUUUUCAUGAUUAUAUGACCUGUGCGUCGUUGCAACAGAGGCAUCGGACGAUACAAUACAGAGAAGGAGAAAAAA